rnacentral:ribozyme from 1 species
CGCCCAGCAACUCCUAUCCCUACCUCCUCGUGGUACCGACCGGAAACUAUGAGCAACCUUAGGGAAGAUCGGGUAACCAACCCCGGUGGGAACUUUGGUCAUAGGCUGACAGGGAAGG